AGAGUUUGAUCCUGGCUCAGAUUGAACGCUGGCGGCAUGCCUUACACAUGCAAGUCGAACGGCAGCGCGGGGCAACCUGGCGGCGAGUGGCGAACGGGUGAGUAAUAUAUCGGAACGUACCCUGGAGUGGGGGAUAACGUAGCGAAAGUUACGCUAAUACCGCAUACGAUCUACGGAUGAAAGUGGGGGCUCGCAAGACCUCAUGCUCGUGGAGCGGCCGAUAUCUGAUUAGCUAGUUGGUAGGGUAAAAGCCUACCAAGGCAUCGAUCAGUAGCUGGUCUGAGAGGACGACCAGCCACACUGGGACUGAGACACGGCCCAGACUCCUACGGGAGGCAGCAGUGGGGAAUUUUGGACAAUGGGCGCAAGCCUGAUCCAGCAAUGCCGCGUGAGUGAAGAAGGCCUUCGGGUUGUAAAGCUCUUUUGUCAGGGAAGAAACGGUGGGGGCUAAUAUCCCCUGCUAAUGACGGUACCUGAAGAAUAAGCACCGGCUAACUACGUGCCAGCAGCCGCGGUAAUACGUAGGGUGCAAGCGUUAAUCGGAAUUACUGGGCGUAAAGCGUGCGCAGGCGGUCUUGUAAGUCUGUCGUGAAAUCCCCGGGCUCAACCUGGGAAUGGCGAUGGAGACUGCAAGGCUAGAAUCUGGCAGAGGGGGGUAGAAUUCCACGUAGCAGUGAAAUGCGUAGAUAUGUGGAGGAACACCGAUGGCGAAGGCAGCCCCCUGGGCUAAGACUGACGCUCAUGCACGAAAGCGUGGGGAGCAAACAGGAUUAGAUACCCUAGUAGUCC
rnacentral:rRNA from 1 species